rnacentral:lncRNA from 1 species
UGCCUCGGCCUCCCAAAGUGCUGGGAUUACAGACGUGAGCCACUGCGCCCGGCUUCUCAAAGGGAUUUUACGCCCAUGGUUGGGUUCUGUCUUAUAGCAAGCUGACCUGAAGAUAGGGAAAGUAUUUGAGUGUGAGCCUUGCCCUAACCACAUGAGCCUAUUCAAAGUAGUUUUCUGCUGGUAGAAGAGGAGGAAGUCAGGGAUUUGAAGCAUGUGGGGGAUUCAGCACAUGAGAAAUCCUCUGUUGUUGACUUGAAGAUGGAGGGAGCCCCAUGGCAAGGAAGGUGGACGGCCUCUAGGAGCCGUGAGAGGACCUGGCUUACAGCCAGCCAGCGAGGACAUGGGGACCUCAGUCCCACAGCCGCAAGGAUUGGAAUUCUGCCAACAAGUGGAGCUUGGAAGCCAAUUCUUCCCCAGAACCGGCAGAAAGGAACGCAACCUGGUAGAUGCCUCAAUUUCAGCCCUCUGGGACCCGGAGCAAAAAAACCCAGCCACACAGAACCUGGACUUCUGACUGCCAGAACUGGGAGCUAAUGAAUACAUGGCACAGAGUUGGUGGGCGCCUGAGAGAGCUACUCAGCUGUGAGGUCCUUCCCCUGGACUUGAGCACAGGCCUUCUGGCUCAGGGUGCUGAGGGAUGGUGCUCCCCUGUGAGGGGGGUGCCCGGGGCACCCCAGCCUCCCUCAGGAACUCCCAGGCCCCUCAGAAGCAGGAAGUUGGGCUGACCAAAGCUGUGGUAGCUCAGCUAUAUACAUGGCCCCUCUUGACCCUUCUCUGUGAACUGAGGUGCUCUACCUGACGGCCUCUUCACCAAGGGAAAAUGCUUCAGGCAUUUGGGAGCGUGCACCCUGAGAAGGCCUCAGCAAGUUUUUGGAGAUUGUCAUUCACAGAAACGGGGUCCCAUUAUAUUGUCCAGGCUGGUCUCAAACUCCUGGGCUCGAGUGAUCUGCCCGCCUCAGCCUCUCAAAUUGUUGGGAUUACAGGCAUGAGCCGCCGCACCCGGCCUGACGAGGCUUCUUGCUGCACUUAAAGGAAUGACAGCUAUAGAGGGCAUAUGGGACUGGAAGGCAUCGGAUCCAUAACAUCCUUACGCCUUCUGGAAAUGUGAAAAAUGUUUCACAAAAGCACAGCCUAAGGCCUCAUGUGAUGAGGACCCGGAUGCGGAUGUCGUUGGCCUGCACUUGCCUCUCCAUGUGAUCUGUGACGUUGCCAGAGUCUGUGGGACAUGUUAUCUGGGAUUCCACGCUGCUGGAUCUGCCUCCUGUGCCCAAUGGGACAGGACCUUAGAAGGGAGGCACACCAGCUUGGGCGGGUGGCCUGGAGGCACAAAGGAGCUGUGUAGUGCACCAGGCCUCCUAGCUCAUCUUCUCCCGAGGCCUUAUUCCCCCUUCCCUGUCCCCCAACCUGCGGGGAAGAUGACCAUAGUAUUAUAAAAUCUGAGAGCUGGGUGGGACCUAGAGCUCUCAAAAGACUUAGCAAGGCCGGGCGCGGUGGCUCAUGCCUGUAAUCCCAGCACUUUGGGAGGCCCAGGUCAGGGGAUCAUUAAGUCAAGAGAUCAAGACCAUCCUGGCCAACAUGGUGAAACCCCGUCUCUACUAAAAAUAGAAAAAUGAGCUGGGUGUGGUGGCGGGCCCCCGUAGUCCCAGCUACUCGGGAGGCUGAGGCAGGAGAAUCACUUGAACCCAGGAGGUGG